rnacentral:rRNA from 1 species
GAUGAACGCUGGCGGCGUGCCUAAUACAUGCAAGUCGAGCGAACGGACGAGAAGCUUGCUUCUCUGAUGUUAGCGGCGGACGGGUGAGUAACACGUGGAUAACCUACCUAUAAGACUGGGAUAACUUCGGGAAACCGGAGCUAAUACCGGAUAAUAUUUUGAACCGCAUGGUUCAAAAGUGAAAGACGGUCUUGCUGUCACUUAUAGAUGGAUCCGCGCUGCAUUAGCUAGUUGGUAAGGUAACGGCUUACCAAGGCAACGAUGCAUAGCCGACCUGAGAGGGUGAUCGGCCACACUGGAACUGAGACACGGUCCAGACUCCUACGGGAGGCAGCAGUAGGGAAUCUUCCGCAAUGGGCGAAAGCCUGACGGAGCAACGCCGCGUGAGUGAUGAAGGUCUUCGGAUCGUAAAACUCUGUUAUUAGGGAAGAACAUAUGUGUAAGUAACUGUGCACAUCUUGACGGUACCUAAUCAGAAAGCCACGGCUAACUACGUGCCAGCAGCCGCGGUAAUACGUAGGUGGCAAGCGUUAUCCGGAAUUAUUGGGCGUAAAGCGCGCGUAGGCGGUUUUUUAGUCUGAUGUGAAAGCCCACGGCUCAACCGUGGAGGGUCAUUGGAAACUGGAAAACUUGAGUGCAGAAGAGGAAAGUGGAAUUCCAUGUGUAGCGGUGAAAUGCGCAGAGAUAUGGAGGAACACCAGUGGCGAAGGCGACUUUCUGGUCUGUAACUGACGCUGAUGUGCGAAAGCGUGGGGAUCAAACAGGAUUAGAUACCCUGGUAGUCCACGCCGUAAACGAUGAGUGCUAAGUGUUAGGGGGUUUCCGCCCCUUAGUGCUGCAGCUAACGCAUUAAGCACUCCGCCUGGGGAGUACGACCGCAAGGUUGAAACUCAAAGGAAUUGACGGGGACCCGCACAAGCGGUGGAGCAUGUGGUUUAAUUCGAAGCAACGCGAAGAACCUUACCAAAUCUUGACAUCCUUUGACAACUCUAGAGAUAGAGCCUUCCCCUUCGGGGGACAAAGUGACAGGUGGUGCAUGGUUGUCGUCAGCUCGUGUCGUGAGAUGUUGGGUUAAGUCCCGCAACGAGCGCAACCCUUAAGCUUAGUUGCCAUCAUUAAGUUGGGCACUCUAAGUUGACUGCCGGUGACAAACCGGAGGAAGGUGGGGAUGACGUCAAAUCAUCAUGCCCCUUAUGAUUUGGGCUACACACGUGCUACAAUGGACAAUACAAAGGGCAGCGAAACCGCGAGGUCAAGCAAAUCCCAUAAAGUUGUUCUCAGUUCGGAUUGUAGUCUGCAACUCGACUAUAUGAAGCUGGAAUCGCUAGUAAUCGUAGAUCAGCAUGCUACGGUGAAUACGUUCCCGGGUCU